AUCGACGUCAAUGAUUUCAACACAAAAUUGCGUAAUGCACGUAAAUUCCUUGAAAAAGGGGACAAAGUGAAAGCUUCGAUCCGUUUCAAAGGCCGUGCCAUUACCCAUAAAGAAAUUGGUCAGAAAGUGUUAGAUCGUUUGGCGGAAGAAACUGCUGAUUUGGCAACUGUUGAGCAAAAGCCAAAAAUGGAUGGCCGCAGUAUGUUCUUAGUAUUAGCACCAAAAAACGAUAAAUAAUGACUCACUGAGUUUCAGUUUAAAGUCAGAUAACGAAAGAUUUUGAGGAGGAAAUUAGUUAUGCCAAAACAAAAAACACACCGCGGAUUAGCAAAACGCGUA
rnacentral:misc_RNA from 1 species